rnacentral:miRNA from 1 species
UUCAGAAACCAUCCCUUCCUU